rnacentral:rRNA from 1 species
ACGGAAGGCAGCAGUGGGGAAUUUUGCGCAAUGGGGGAAACCCUGACGCAGCAACGCCGCGUGCGGGAUGAAGGCCUUCGGGUUGUAAACCGCUUUCAGCAGGGACGAUUAUGACGGUACCUGCAGAAGAAGCUCCGGCUAACUACGUGCCAGCAGCCGCGGUAAUACGUAGGGAGCGAGCGUUAUCCGGAUUCAUUGGGCGUAAAGCGCGCGUAGGCGGCUUACCAAGCGGAACCUCUAAUCCGAGGGCUCAACCCCCGGCCGGGUUCCGAACUGGUAGGCUCGAGUGCGGUAGGGGCAGGUGGAAUUCCAUGUGUAGCGGUGGAAUGCGCAGAUAUAUGGAAGAACACCGAUGGCGAAGGCAGCCUGCUGGGCCGUCACUGACGCUGAGGUGCGAAAGCGUGGGUAGCGAACAGGAUUAGAUACCCUGGUA